rnacentral:ncRNA from 1 species
UGGUCCUAACCUUAUAAUCAAUUUUUACUUAACUUAUACAUGCAAGUAUCCGCACCACUGUGAAAACGCCCUUACUUUCUAAUAGAAACAAGGAGCUGACAUCAGGCACAAUUUUUAGCCCAAAACAUCUAGCCACGCCACAUCCACAAGGAAAUUCAGCAGUAAUUAACAUUGAGUAUAAACGUCAGCUUGACUCAAUUAAAGUAAAAAGAGCCGGCAAAUAUGGUGCCAGCCGCCGCGGCCACACCCUAGACUCAAAUUGAUUUUUUUCGGCGUAAAGCGUGAUUAAAGUUGCUUAACUAUUAUAAUUAAACUAUUACUAAGCUGUUAUACGCUUGUUUAUAAGAAACCCAAAAACGAAAGUUAUUAUAAUUUUAGACUUGAAUUCACGACAACUAGGACACAAACUUGGAUUAGAUACCCUACUAUGCCUAGUCGUAAACUUUAAAUUACAUACAAUCGCCAGAGAACUACGAGCAAAGCUUAAAACCCAAAGGACUUGACGGUACCCCAUAUCCAUCUAGAGGAGCCUGUCCUGUAAUCGACGACCCACGCUAAACCUCACCAUUUCUAGCUUAUCAACCUGUAUACCUCCGUCGUCAGCCCACCUCGUGAGUGAAAUUAAGUGGGCUCAAUGUUUACACAUCAAUACGUCAGGUCAAGGUGCAGUUAAUGAAAUGGAAAGAGAUGGGCUACACUCUCUAGUCUAGAAAAAACGAAAAACUAUUUAUGAAAUUUAGUUGGAAGGCGGAUUUAGUAGUAAAAAGAAACCAUUAAGCUCUUUUUAACCCGGCACUGGGGUGUGUACACACCGCCCGUCACCCUCUUCAAAGCCAAACAAACAGUAUUUAACUAAAUUUAGCACUAAAGAAGAGGCAAGUCGUAACAUGGUAAACGUACCGGAAGGUGUGUUUGGAAU